rnacentral:rRNA from 1 species
AGAGUUUGAUCCUGGCUCAGGAUGAACGCUAGCGACAGGCUUAACACAUGCAAGUCGAGGGGCAGCGGGGGUGCAGGCUUGCCUGCACCUGCCGGCGACCGGCGCACGGGUGAGUAACACGUAUGGAACCUGCCCGCCACAGGGGGAUAACCCGGGGAAACCCGGCCUAAUACCCCAUGCCGCCCGGACCGGGCAUCCGGACCGGGCGAAAGGAGGAAUCCAGUGGCGGCUGGGCAUGCGGCGCAUUAGCUUGACGGCGGGGUAACGGCCCACCGUGGCGACGAUGCGUAGGGGUUCUGAGAGGAAGGCCCCCCACACUGGAACUGAGACACGGUCCAGACUCCUACGGGAGGCAGCAGUGAGGAAUAUUGGUCAAUGGGCGGAAGCCUGAACCAGCCAAGUCGCGUGAGGGAAUAAGGCCCUACGGGUCGUAAACCUCUUUUGCCGGGGAGCAAGGGCGGGGACGUGUCCCGGCCCGGAGAGUACCCGGAGAAAAAGCAUCGGCUAACUCCGUGCCAGCAGCCGCGGUAAUACGGAGGAUGCGAGCGUUAUCCGGAUUUAUUGGGUUUAAAGGGUGCGUAGGCGGGCUUUUAAGUCAGCGGUAAAAAUUCGGGGCUCAACCCCGUCCGGCCGUUGAAACUGGGGGCCUUGAGUGGGCGAGAAGAAGGCGGAAUGCGUGGUGUAGCGGUGAAAUGCAUAGAUAUCACGCAGAACCCCGAUUGCGAAGGCAGCCUUCCGGCGCCCUACUGACGCUGAGGCACGAAAGUGCGGGGAUCGAACAGGAUUAGAUACCCUGGUAGUCCGCACAGUAAACGAUGGAUGCCAGCUGUUCCGGGCCGAAUGGGGCCUGGGUGGCAAAGCGAAAACAUUAAACAUCCCUCCUGGGGAGUACGCCGGCAACGGGUGAAACUCAAAGGAAUUGACGGGGGCCCGCACAAGCGGAGGAACAUGUGGUUUAAUUAGAUGAUACGCGAGGAACCUUACCCGGGCUCAAACGCGUCAGGGGAUCCCCUCUGAAAGGAGGGGAGUCAGCAAUAACCUGGCGCGAGGUGCUGCAUGGUUGUCGUCAGCUCGUGCCGUGAGGUGUCGGCUUAAGUGCCAUAACGAGCGCAACCCCUACCGACAGUUGCUAACUGGUGAAGCAGAGGACUCUGUCGGGACUGCCGGCGCAAGCUGCGAGGAAGGCGGGGAUGACGUCAAAUCAGCACGGCCCUUACGUCCGGGGCGACACACGUGUUACAAUGGCAGGUACAGCGGGAAGCCACCGGGCGACCGGGCGCGGAACCCGAAAACCUGUCUCAGUUCGGAUCGGAGUCUGCAACCCGACUCCGUGAAGCUGGAUUCGCUAGUAAUCGCGCAUCAGCCACGGCGCGGUGAAUACGUUCCCGGGCCUUGUAAACACCGCCCGUCA